ACGAACGCUGGCGGCGUGCUUAACACAUGCCAGUCGAACGGGCCCGCCCCUGUUUUUGGGGGUGGGUUGAGUGGCGAACGGGUGAGUAUCACGUGAGUAACCUGCCCCCUGCUCCUGGAUAACUGCUUGAAAGGGCGGCUAAUACGGGGUGUGCCGGCUGGUCCGCAUGGGCCUGGUCGGGAUAGUUUCAUCUUCGGGUGUUUCGGUGGGGGAUGGGCUCGCGGCCUAUCAGCUUGUUGGUGGGGUGAUGGCCCACCAAGGCGGUGACGGGUAGCCGGCCUGAGAGGGUGGGCGGCCACGCUGGGACUGAGACACGGCCCAGACUCCUGUGGGAGGCAGCAGGGGGGGGUAUGGCACAAUGGGCGGAAGCCUGAUGCAGCGACGUCGCGUGAGGGAUGGAGGCCUUCGGGUUGUGAACCUCUUUCUCCGGUGGUGAAGGCCCUGUCCGUUGCGGCGGGGUUGACGGUAGCCGGGUAUGAAGCGCCGGCUAACUACGUG
rnacentral:rRNA from 1 species